UUCCCUCAACCGUUUAGGAGUCCAUCAAAUGACAUAGUGUUUAGAGGGCAGUGUUCAUAAAUUUGGAAUUCACUCUGUUUUCUUUGCAAUCUGAGUGGCAGAAGUAAUGACUGUGAUCCGGAGAAGCUGUUGUUGUGUUACAAAUGGACACGGCGAGUUGCAGUACGGCCCGUAGACAUCGAGGAGGCUCUCUAUCCAUGAUGAUAAACUCACCCUGCCACGGAGAACCAAUACCCAAGGAUACAACAGGAGGUAUCCACCACUGGUGUCACCCAAGAUUGAUCCCUUCUCCCAGUGGGGCAGACACCGCUGUAGCUGCAAGUUUCAUGGCUUCCUCUGGGAUGUGGGCUGGCACCUGGGCGCUACCUUUAUAUAAAGUCCGCACCUCACCUGCAUGCCGUGCGAAUUCAAAGAUCUGGACGUAAAAGUGACGACUGGGAGGGUUAACCUUUGACCAAUAUUCUGCAGGACUGCAAGGCGGGAUUGGUACCCCCCCUCAUGGAUGUUCACCAUUGACUGCUGAAGCAAGAGGAGGGAGGGAGGGAGGGAGCGGAGUUUAUAUUUUAACCUUCACAAAGUCGAGCUGAAUUAUUGUUAAAU